rnacentral:rRNA from 1 species
UCAAGCAAGAAAGAGCACAAGGAGAAUGCCUUGGCACUAGGAGCCGAUGAAAGACGUGGUAAGCUGCGAAAAGCUUCGGGGAGGCGCAAACAGCCAUCGAUCCGGAGAUAUCUGAAUGGGGAAACCUACUUGAGCAAACCUCAAGUAUCCAUACGUGAAUCCAUAGCGUAUGGAAGGGAACGCUGUGAACUGAAACAUCUAAGUAGCAGUAGGAGGAGAAAGAAAACUCGAUUUCCUAAGUAGCGGCGAGCGAACGGGAAAGAGGCCAAACCGAAGGACCUGGUUCUUCGGGGUUGCGGACUGCAAUUAGCAUUGCUGAGAGAUAGACGAAUGGUUUUGGGAAAGCCAGCCGUAGACGGUGAAAGCCCGGUAGACGAAAUCUUGAAGCAGCGAGCAGGAUCCAGAGUACCACGAGACACGAGAAACCUUGUGGGAAGCCGGGGGGACCACCCCCCAAGCCUAAAUACUCCCUAGUGACCGAUAGUGAAGCAGUACUGUGAAGGAAAGGUGAAAAGGACCCCGGGAGGGGAGUGAAAGAGAACCUGAAACCUUGUGCUUACAAACAGUCAAAGGACGCAAGUCUGAUGGCGUACUUUUUGUAGAACGGUCCGGCGAGUUACUAAUGCCAGCGAGGUUAAGUGGUCAGAAGCCACGGAGCCGAAGGGAAACCAAGUCUGAAUAGGGCGUAGAGUUGGUAUUAGUAGACCCGAAACCGGGUGACCUAUCCAUGUCCAGGUUGAAGGAACCGUAAAAGGUUUUGGAGGACCGAACACACAUGUGUUGAAAAACGUGGUGAUGAGGUGUGGAUAGCGGAGAAAUUCCAAUCGAACUCGGAGAUAGCUGGUUCUCCUCGAAAUAGCUUUAGGGCUAGCCUCGAGCUGGAGUCUAACGGAGGUAAAGCACUGAACUGACGCGGGGCCCAAAAAGGUUACCAACUCAUAUCAAACUAAGAAUGCCGUCAAGAUACCCUCGGGAGUCAGUCUGCGUGAGAUAAGUCGCGUGGACAAAAGGGAAAGAGCCCAGACCGACAGCUAAGGUCCCAAAGUACGUGUUAAGUGGAAAAGGAUGUGGGAUUUCAUAGACAACUAGGAUGUUGGCUUAGAAGCAGCCAUACAUUUAAAGAGUGCGUAAUAGCUCACUAGUCGAGAAAACCUGCGCCGAAAAUGUAACGGGGCUAAAACACGACACCGAAGCUACGGAUUUCCUACAAGGUAGGAAGUGGUAGAGGAGCAUCCUGCAAGGACGAAGCCAAAGUGAGAGCGAUGGUGGACGAAACAGGAGAGAGAAUGCCGGAAUGAGUAGCGAGAUACAUGUGAGAAACAUGUAGGCCGAAUAUCUAAGGAUUCCUGGGUAAAGCUAAUCUUCCCAGGGUUAGUCGGGGCCUAAGGCGAGGACGAAAGUCGUAGUCGAUGGAUAACAGGUUGAUAUUCCUGUACUACACAUAAUCAGAACUGUGGGGACGCAGGAGGAUAGGGAAACCGGGGAAUGGAAAGACCCGGUCAAGCGUAAAGCUGUGGGAGAUAGGCAAAUCCGUCUCCUGUAAGUGAAACGUGAUGAGGACUGAAAAAAAGUAAGGAAGUUUCCGAAUCCACACUGCCGAGAAAAGCCGCUAUUGCGUUAUGUGUACCCGUACCGUAAACCGACACAGGUAGAUGAGGAGAAAAUCCACAGGCCGACGGGAGAAGUGUUGUUAAGGAACUCGGCAAAAUGACCCCGUAACUUCGGGAUAAGGGGAGCCUCGCAAGAGGCCGCAGAAAAGAGGCACAAGCAACUGUUUAGCAAAAACAUAGGUCUAUGCGAAACCGUAAGGUGAAGUAUAUGGGCUGACGCCUGCCCGGUGCUGGAAGGUUAAAAGGAGAGGUCAGCGCAAGCGAAGCUUUGAAUUCAAGCCCCAGUAAACGGCGGCCGUAACUAUAACGGUCCUAAGGUAGCGAAAUUCCUUGUCAGGUAAGUUCUGACCCGCACGAAAGGCGUAAUGAUUUGGGCACUGUCUCAACAGCCCGCCCGGCGAAAUUGUAGUACUGGUGAAGAUGCCAGUUACCCGCA